GAUGAAGAACGUAGCGAAAUGCGAUAAGUAAUGUGAAUUGCAGAAUUCAGUGAAUCAUCAAAUCUUUGAACGCAUCUUGCGCUCCUUGGUAUUCCGAGGAGCAUGCCUGUUUGAGUGUCAUUUUAACUUCUCAACCAUAUCGAAUUGUUUUUCGAGGUGGCUUGGACAUGGGGGUUUUUGCAGGCUUUAAUAAUGAAGUCGGCUCCUCUGAAAUGCAUUAGUGGUAUCUGAAGCAGAACUGCUACUAUUAGGUGUGAUAAUUAUCUAUGCCUCUUGGUAUACUGCAUGAACAGAUUGCGCUGCUUCCAACUUGUACACCCUUUGGUGUUUGACAAAUUUGACCUCAAAUCAGGUAGGACUACCCGCUGAACUUAAGCAUAUCAAUAAGCGGAGGA
rnacentral:misc_RNA from 1 species